rnacentral:lncRNA from 1 species
AUAGAGGGCCAUUUGGAUUCCCUAUAUAGAGAAUAGAGGGCCAUUUGGAUUCCCUAUAUAGAGAAUAGUGGGCCAUUUGGAUUCCCUAUAUAGAGAAUAGUGGGCCAUUUGGAUUCCCUAUAUAGAGAAUAGAGGGCCAUUUGGAUUCCCUAUAGAGAAUAGUGGGCCAUUUGGAUUCCCUAUAUAGAGAAUAGUGGGCCAUUUGGAUUCCCUAUAUAGAGAAUAGUGGGCCAUUUGGAUUCCCUAUAUAGAGAAUAGAGGGCCAUUUGGAUUCCCUAUAGAGAAUAGUGGGCCAUUUGGAUUCCCUAUAUAGAGAAUAGAGGGCCAUUUGGAUUCCCUAUAUAGAGAAUAGUGGGCCAUUUGGAUUCCCUAUAGAGAAUAGUGGGCCAUUUGGAUUCCCUAUAUAGAGAAUAGAGGGCCAUUUGGAUUCCCUAUAUAGAGAAUAGAGGGCCAUUUGGAUUCCCCUAUAUAGAGAAUAGAGGGCCAUUUGGAUUCCCUAUAUAGAGAAUAGUGGGCCAUUUGGAUUCCCUAUAUAGAGAAUAGUGGGCCAUUUGGAUUCCCUAUAGAGAAUAGUGGGCCAUUUGGAUUCCCUAUAUAGAGAAUAGAGGGCCAUUUGGAUUCCCUAUAUAGAGAAUAGAGGGCCAUUUGGAUUCCCUAUAUAGAGAAUAGUGGGCCAUUUGGAUUCCCUAUAGAGAGAAUAGUGGGCCAGUGUUUCUGGGUCAUUUAAUAACUGAGAUGAGAUAGUGCACUACAUAGGGAUUAGGAUAUAAUUUGGGCUUCACACAAUCACUUUUUAAAAUCGGAGCAUCACCCAUUCUUCAGAUUACGUUCCAAAUUAGAUCACUUUUCAUCUCAUUUAUAAACGGACAGAUAUCACUUCUGAUCUAAUGUAUAAACGGCCCAGAUAUCACAUCUGAUCUAAUGUAUAAACGGCCCAGAUAUCAAACCCCAAUAUCCAGGUCGAUACACUUUCUGAUCUAAUGUAUAAACGGGCCAGAUAUCACUUCUGAUCUAAUGUAUAAACGGGCCAGAUAUCACUUCUGAUCUAAUGUAUAAACGGGCCAGAUAUCCCGUCUGACCUAAUGUAUAAACGGCCCAGAUAUCAAACCCCAAUAUCCAGGUCAAUACUCUUUCUGAUCUAAUGUAUAAACGGCCCAGAUAUCACAUCUGAUCUAAUGUAUAAACGGGCCAGAUAUCACUUCUGAUCUAAUGUAUAAACGGCCCAGAAAUCCCUUCUGUUCCAAAGUAUAAACGGGCCAGAAAUCAAACCCUGAUAUCAAGGUCAAUACUGUUCCGAUUAACUGGUCUAUAUUAAAAUGUACAUAACACCACACAUUCACCAUUACAGAAACAUCACGUUAAGAUUAUAUUAUAUACACUUAGUUUGAUUAUGGUUUUAUAAAAUGUAGAACUGUGUUAAUGUAUUUUAAAAGUCAACAUUUAAUAUCUACAUUUAAUCUAAUUUAAAUGAACUCUUGCUCCUGUCAUCGUUUGUAAAAUCCUGAUAAAGUUUCAUUCAAAAACACAAAUAUUGUACAAAACUGGCAACAGUGAAGACAUAAAAAGGAGGUUAAGACGUUUUCUUUGGCAGCUAUUAAAAUAAUUAAAAUAUGAGAGAGAGAGAGAGAGAGAGAGAGAGAGAGAGAGAGAGAGAGAGAGAGAGAGAGAGAGAGAGAGACAGAGAGAGAGACAGAGAGAGAGACAGAGAGAGAGAGACAGAGAGAGAGAGACAGAGAGAGAGACAGAGAGAGAGAGACAGAGACAGAGAGACACAGAGACAGAGAGAGAGAGAGAGAGACAGAUAGAGACAGAGACAGAGACAGAGAGACAGAGAGAGAGACAGAGAGAGAGACAGAGAGAGACAGAGAGAGAGAGAGAGAGAGAGAGAGAGAGAGUGUGUUUCUUGUGUAUGUGAGAGAGGAAGUGGUAGAGGUAGAUUCCAGGGGAGGAGAGAUUAGUGUCUUGAUAAGGACAGUCAGUCACAUGACCAGCUUCAUCUCAGUUCAGACACACCAACAUCAGACCUGGCUUAGGCUCAG